rnacentral:rRNA from 1 species
UUCGGGUUGUAAAGCUCUUUCGGCCGGGAAGAAAUCGUGUUCUCUAACAUAGGACAUGGAUGACGGUACCGGACUAAGAAGCACCGGCUAACUACGUGCC